rnacentral:rRNA from 1 species
CUAAGCUACUAAGGGCGCAUGGUGAAUGCCUUGGCGCUGGGAGGCGAUGAAGGACGUGGCAACCUGCGAUAAGCCCCGGGGAGCGGGAAGCACGCUGUGAUCCGGGGAUCUCCGAAUGGGGUAACCCGACGCGAGGAAUGUCGCGUCACCGAAGGUUGAAUUCAUAGGCCUUCGGAGCGAUACCCGCCGAAGUGAAACAUCUCAGUAGGCGGAGGAAAAGAAAGAGAUAUUCGAUUCCGUGAGUAGUGGCGAGCGAAAGCGGAAGAGCCUAAACCUUGUCCCGGCCGCAAGGCCCGGACAAGGGGUUGUAGGACCGCCAUCACGGGUAGUCGGGAGGUUAGGCGAAGCGGAUGGAAAGUCGCCCCAUAGAGGGUGAGAGGCCCGUAGCCGAAAACCAAACGACGCCCGGCGGGAUCCUGAGUAACGCGGGGCACGGGGAACCCCGCGUGAAGCUGCGCGGACCACCGCGUAAGGCUAAAUACUACCCAGCGACCGAUAGUGCACCAGUACCGUGAGGGAAAGGUGAAAAGAACCCCGUUUAGGGGAGUGAAAGAGAGCCUGCAACCAUGUGCCUACAAGGUGUCGGAGCCCGAAAGGGUGACGGCGUGCCUUUUGCUUAAUGAGUCUGCGAGUUACUGUCCGUGGCGAGUCUAAGCCUUUGUAAAGGCGGAGGCGAAGCGAAAGCGAGUCCUAACAGGGCGCCAAGCUGCGGGCAGUAGACCCGAAGGGGAGGUGAUCUACCCAUGGCCAGGAUGAAGUCACCUUAACCGGUGAUGGAGGUCCGAACAGGUGGCGGUUGAAAACGCCUCUGAUGAGCUGUGGGUAGGAGCGAAAGACUAACCAAACCCCCUGAUAGCUGGUUCUCCCCGAAAUAGCUUGAGGGCUAGCCUCGUGUGCUGACUCGCGGGGGUAAAGCACUGGAUGGACUAGGGCCCACACCAGGGUACCGAAUCCAACCAAACUCUGAAUACCGCGGGGUGGAGCACGGGAGUCAGACGGUGGGGGAUAAGCUUCAUCGUCGAGAGGGAAACAGCCCAGAUCGCCGGCUAAGGUGCCUAAAUGGCGUUUAGUGGAAAGGAUGUCCGAUCUCGAAGACAGUGAGGAUGUUGGCUUAGAGGCAGCCAUCAUUUAAACAGUGCGUAAUAGCUGACUCACCGAGAGAUCGGGCGCCGAAAAUGAUUGGCGAUAAGCGUCAUACCGAAGCCGCGGGUGCAGGUUUGCCUCGGCAAACCUGUGCGGUAGGGGAGCGUUCUGUGCGCUGUGAAGCGGGAGGGUAACCGACUGUGGAGCGCACGGAAGUGAGAAUGCAGACAUGAGUAGCGAUAAGGCCGGUGAAAAUCCGGCCCGCCGUAAGCCUAAGGUUUCCUGGGGAAGGUUCGUCCGCCCAGGGUUAGUCGGGAUCUAAGCCGAGGCCGUAAGGCGUAGGCGAUGACAAGCCGGUUAAUAUUCCGGCACCACCGACCUUUAAGCGAGGGGGACGCAUCGUCCGGAGAGAGGCGAGGUGCUGAACGUCCUUGUCCCGCAAGGGGACCCAAAGGAGCAAUCCGGAGGGGAUCUCUCGAAGGCGGUGCCGAGAAAAGCCCUCGUGAAUACUAAGGUGCCCGUACCGUAAACCGACACAGGUGGGCGAGUAGAGUAUACUCAGGCGCGUGAGUGAAAUCUCUUUAAGGAACUCGGCAAAUUGGCCCCGUAACUUCGGAAUAAGGGGUGCCCCCGCAAGGGGGCCGCAGUGAACAGCGCCAACCGACUGUUUAACAAAAACACAGCUCUCUGCUAAGUCGUGAAGACGACGUAUAGGGAGUGACACGUGACCAAUGCUGGAAGAUUAAGGUGAGGGGUUAGCUUGGCUUCGGCCAGGCGAAGCUCUGAGCCUAAGUCCCAGCGAAUGUCGGCCGUAACUAUAACGGUCCUAAGGUAGCGAAAUUCCUUGUCGGGUAAGUUCCGACCUGCACGAAUCGUGUAACGAGUUGGCGACUGUCUCAAAGAGAUGCUCAGCGAAAUUGUAGUGGCGGUGAAGAUGCCGCCUACCCGCAGUAGGACGGAAAGACCCCGUGCACCUUUACUGUAAGCUGUUGCUGGAUUCUCGUUGUGGAUGCUUAGCGUAAGUGGGAGGCAAAGAAGCCUUCCUUUCGGGGAAGGCAGAGCCGCCAAUGAAACACCACCCUUCCGCAAUGGGAGUUCUAACCUCGAGCCCUGAAGCGGGACGAGGGACAACGGCAGCGGGUCAGUUUGACUGGGGCGGUCUCCUCCUAAAGGGUAACGGAGGAGUUCUAAGGUCCCCUCAGCACGGUUGGCAAUCGUGCGGAGAGCGCAUGGGUAGAAGGGGGCUUAACUGUGAGACCGACAGGUCGAGCAGGUGCGAAAGCAGGACCAAGUGAUCCGGUGGUGGAACGUGGAAUCGCCAUCGCUCAACGGACAAAAGGUACGCCGGGGAUAACAGGCUGAUCGGGCCCAAGAGUCCACAUCGACGGCCCGGUUUGGCACCUCGAUGUCGGCUCAUCGCAUCCUGGGGCUGGAGAAGGUCCCAAGGGUCCGGCUGUUCGCCGGUUAAAGCGGUACGCGAGCUGGGUUCAGAACGUCGUGAGACAGUUCGGUCCUUAUCCACUGCGGGCGCAGGAGACUUGAGGGAUUCACUCCCUAGUACGAGAGGACCGGGAGUGACGCACCUCUGGUGUGCCGGUUGUGCCGUCAGGCGCAGCGCCGGGUAGCUAUGUGCGGAAAGGAUAAGCGCUGAAAGCAUCUAAGCGCCAAGCCUCUCCCUAGAUUAGGUCUCCCCAUCAGGGUCGUGGAAGACUACCACGUUGAUAGGUCGCAGGUGUAAGCGCGGUAACGCGUUGAGCCGAGCGAUACUAAGUACCCGAUUGGCUUUGGAAC